AUGCCAUGUGAAGACGCAGGGAGAAUGUGACAUCUGCAAGCCAAGGAGAGAGGCUGCAGGAGAAACCAGCUCUGCUGACACUUUGAUCUCAAGCUCUGGCCACCAGAACUGUGAGCAAAUAAGUGUCUGUUGUUUAGGGCACCCUGUCCAUGGCACCUUGCUCCGAUAGCCCCAGGAAACGAAUCCACAGGUAUGUUCUCUUAUCAUCUCCAUUUUACAAGCCAAGAAACCCAGGCUCUGAGAGGCAAAGGAUUCACCCAGAGUCCCACAGCUAGUAAGAGGCAGAGCCCGUAUUCAAACCCGAGUCUUUGGGCAGCAGGGCUCAAGUCCUUGGCGAUGGGGCUGCCAGAGGGCCAAGCUGGUCUUCAGACCCUCAGGUCCAGAAUUCUCCCAGUCUCCUCCCCUGCGUUUGGUGGCUUCUCCCUCCAGCCACCCGCCUCCUUCCUUCACCUUGUUGGAGGCAGCUCCACGUCCCUGCCUCUGAGUCCCUGCCUCUGAGUCCCUGCCUCUGAGCUGCUGGCUUCAGCAUUGCGGGGGAGCAGCCUUUCUCCAGCUCCUUUCCUCCCGGCCCUCCACUGAAGGCUCUUCUGCCAGCUGCACACGUGUACACACACACACACACGCACACACACACACUUGCAAACUCACAAACACACUUGCAAACUCACACACACACACUUGCAAACUCAGUCACUCUCACACUCACUCCUCACACCCUCACACACUCCUUACACACGCACUCCUCGCACACACCUCACAUGCACUCACACACACGCACACACUCCUCACACACUCCUCACACACACACUCCUCACACACACGCACUCCUCACACACGCACUCCUCACACACACACUCCUCACACACACUCCUCACACACACACUCACACACAUGCACUCCUCACACACGCACUCCUCACACAUGCACUCCUCACACUCCUCACACACACGCACUCCACACACACACUCCUCACACACGCACUCCUCACACACACUCCUCACACACACUCCUCUCACACACGCACUUCUCACACGUACUCCUCACACACACACUCCUCAUACACUCAUGCACUUCUCACACACACUUCUCACACACUCACACUCCAUGCUCACCCCUUUCCAGCAGCCACCCGAGGCUCUCCCUCCUGCCGUCCUGAAUGUCUGUUGCCGCACAGUGGCUUUGGGGGCUCCCCUGGGGACCUCCAC
rnacentral:lncRNA from 10 species